UACGAAGGGUGCAAACGUUGCUCGGAAUUAUUGGGCGUAAAGCGCACGUAGGCGGCUUUGCAAGUCGGAUGUGAAAUCCCACGGCUCAACCAUGGAAGUGCAUCCGAAACUGCAGAGCUUGAGUACGAAAGAGGAUCGCGGAAUUCCCGGUGUAGAGGUGAAAUUCGUAGAUAUCGGGAGGAAUACCAGUGGCGAAGGCG
rnacentral:rRNA from 1 species